rnacentral:rRNA from 1 species
UACGUAGGGUGCAAGCGUUGUCCGGAAUUAUUGGGCGUAAAGAGCUCGUAGGCGGUCUGUUGCGUCGGCUGUGAAAACCCGCGGCUCAACUGCGGGCCUGCAGCCGAUACGGGCAGGCUAGAGUUCGGUAGGGGAGACUGGAAUUCCUGGUGUAGCGGUGAAAUGCGCAGAUAUCUGGAGGAACACCGGUGGCGAAGGCGGCGUCCUGGACCAACACUGACACUGAGGAGCGAAAGCCAGGGGAGCAAACGGG